AUUGAACGCUGGCGGCAGGCCUAACACAUGCAAGUCGAGCGAGUGGCGGACGGGUGAGUAAUGUCUGGGAAACUGCCCGAUGGAGGGGGAUAACUACUGGAAACGGUAGCUAAUACCGCAUACCAUUGGAUGUGCCCAGAUGGGAUUAGCUUGUAGGUGAGGUAACGGCUCACCUAGGCGACGAUCCCUAGCUGGUCUGAGAGGAUGACCAGCCACACUGGAUCUGAGACACGGGCCAGACUCCUACGGGAGGCAUCAAUGGGGAAUAGUGCACAAUGGGCGCAAGCCUGAUGCAGCCAUGCGGCGUGUAUGAAGAAGGCCUUAGGGGUGUAAAUUACUUUCAGCGGGGAGGCGUUACCCGCAGAAGAAGCACCGGCUAACUCCGUGCCAGCAGCCGCGGUAAUAC
rnacentral:rRNA from 1 species